AUUGAACGCUGGCGGCAUGCCUUACACAUGCAAGUCGAACGGUAACAGGUCUUCGGAUGCUGACGAGUGGCGAACGGGUGAGUAAUACAUCGGAACGUGCCUAGUAGUGGGGGAUAACUACUCGAAAGAGUGGCUAAUACCGCAUGAGAUCUACGGAUGAAAGCAGGGGAUCAAAAGAACUUGUGCUACUAGAGCGGCCGAUGGCAGAUGAGGUAGUUGGUGGGAUAAAAGCUUACCAAGCCGACGAUCUGUAGCUGGUCUGAGAGGACGAUCAGCCACACUGGGACUGAGACACGGCCCAGACUCCUACGGGAGGCAGCAGUGGGGAAUUUUGGACAAUGGGCGCAAGCCUGAUCCAGCAAUGCCGCGUGCAGGAUGAAGGCCUUCGGGUUGUAAACUGCUUUUGUACGGAACGAAAAGCCCUGGGUUAAUACCCUGGGGUCAUGACGGUACCGUAAGAAUAAGCACCGGCUAACUACGUGCCAGCAGCCGCGGUAACAC
rnacentral:rRNA from 1 species